rnacentral:rRNA from 1 species
GCCGCGUGAGGGACGACGGCCUUCGGGUUGUAAACCUCUUUUAGCAGGGAAGAAGCGAAAGUGACGGUACCUGCAGAAAAAGCGCCGGCUAACUACGUGCCAGCAGCCGCGGUAAUACGUAGGGCGCAAGCGUUAUCCGGAAUUAUUGGGCGUAAAGAGCUCGUAGGCGGUCUGUCGCGUCUGCUGUGAAAUCCCGAGGCUCAACCUCGGGCCUGCAGUGGGUACGGGCAGACUAGAGUGCGGUAGGGGAGAUUGGAAUUCCUGGUGUAGCGGUGGAAUGCGCAGAUAUCAGGAGGAACACCGAUGGCGAAGGCAGAUCUCUGGGCCGUAACUGACGCUGAGGAGCGAAAGGGUGGGGAGCAAACAGGCUUAGAUACCCUGGUAGUCCACCCCGUAAACGUUGGGAACUAGUUGUGGGGUCCAUUCCACGGAUUCCGUGACGCAGCUAACGCAUUAAGUUCCCCGCCUGGGGAGUACGGCCGCAAGGCUAAAACUCAAAGGAAUUGACGG